GAGACACCCUUCUGGGGCAAGACUUGAUUCAGUGGGGCUUUGGUGCUCACUGAGUCUGCCCCCUGAGUGUGUCCUU
rnacentral:pre_miRNA from 1 species